rnacentral:lncRNA from 1 species
GAGCUAGCUCAUGGGAAAAAAAUGUCUCUCGGGCUGUGAGCAGUGAAUUGGCUUGUGCCCAAGUAAUGUCCUCAAGGUGUGCCAUGAGAGAUGAAGUCACUUGGCUCAUUUUACCAGCUUCAGGAUGGCAUUAAGACCUGACAAAGCCAGGCAACACGUACAAGGAAACUAACCUGAGGCAGGACCGUGGCACUGAAGGAGUCUCCCUGGAUGCAGCAAAGGUGGAGACCUUGUCCAAGAAAAAUGCUGGACGGGCCUUUACCCCAAAGAGGAAAGCUGGGUCAUGGAACAAGGAAAUGAAUUACAUCAAGUGAAAAUGCACAUCUGAUGCCCAGUCCAGACCAAGCACGUCUGUUCCUGCUGACUUCGAAUGAUUGUCAAGUGGCUGGACUCAGAUGUUAGCCGUCUGUCAUUGCUGCUAAUAACAUAUUCAUGUACAAAAACAACAGAGGUAGGUUGAUGCUGGGGAGGAGUGUUUUUUUUUUUUUUAUACUGGAAGACAUCAUCUACUUUGGUCAAAGUAAAACAAUUUUUAUUUCCAGUAAUGAAAGGAGUUGCAUGUGGAAACCUGAGUUACCAGGCACCGUUUUUCUGAUUUAUUAUAAGGAUGUGUUAGCACCAUUUCUUAGAAACUGAUAUUCCAGAGAGAUGCCCAGUCUUUUAUCAGAUAUAUGUAUUGCAAAUAUUUUCUUCAGUCUGUGACUUGACAAACCUCUUAGUACCUUCUGGCCUGAAAGUCUCUAAGACUCUCAGUUCAGGCUUGUAGAUGACUUUAAAGCCAAGUAUGGGAGAGAUUCCAAUCAUUCUCCUUGCAAUAUGGGGUUGGGAUUGUCAUCUCAAUUAACAGACAUUCAAAGCGUGCCUUCUCUGGAUGCUGAGAACACAGAGAUAAAAAAAAGAUGCCGUGCCUCCCCUACAAGAGCUCUCUGUCAAGUGGGGAAUCAGACUUGUUAACAAAUACCAGAGGAGAGACCACAAAGCCUUUUUGCCUUGAGAAGUCCAGGAAAGCCUCACAGAAGAGAACACAUUUAAAAAACAGCUCACCAGCAGAACCUUGAAGAAAAGCCAUUCUUCUAUGAGAAAGUGGCAUUUCAAAAGCCUGGGUGGAGAGAAACGAAAGUUCACAGCCAGGGACUCCCUCUGUUGGGUGCAAUAACUUGAAUAGCUUGGGCCUCACUUCAGAGCUCUGUUAUUCCACAGGGGUAUCUAGGCAGCUGGAGCCCUCUGUGUUCCGGACUACAGAUUCGGGGACCCAAAGGUGAGUCCAACUCAUGUGACUUUUGUUCAUCAGUAGCACAGUAGAUUUGAUUGUUACUUUUCCUGAGCACUUACUCAAUUUCUAGCGACAACUUUUAUUUUCAUGGUCUGAACAUUUGAUGAUCUCUUUAAGCAACUGAUGGUUUAUAGAGGUAAUUGUCUCUGUUGAGUGAAAGGUGACAGAAUUUAGCUAGAAUCUCCUCUCUGUCUGUCUAUUUUUAGUUCAAAUCUAUUAAGAAUAUUAUGCCAACCAGGAAGUUAAUAUCUGGACUGGCGGGUUUUGUAUUUGUUGGUUUAUAUUUGACAUCUGACUGAAAUUUUAGAAAUGAAAUUAUAAGCUUUCUCUGUGAGUAUGUCUGUAUUUAGAAAGUCCUUUACUUCUCAUCGUGUGAGUGUAUAAU